AAGCCGUACACUUGGUAUUGAGGUCCCCC
rnacentral:sRNA from 1 species